CCGGGGCUUCUUCUCCGGGUACCGUCAUUAUCUUCCCCGGUGAAAGAGUUUUACAACCCUAAGGCCUUCUUCACUCACGCGGCAUUGCUGGAUCAGGCUUUCGCCCAUUGUCCAAUAUUCCCUA
rnacentral:rRNA from 1 species